CAAUCGGGUGCUUAUGCAAAUGAAGCGCGGGAAGCCACGCCCACAAGGCUGUGAGGGAGCGGCGGUGGAGGCAGAGUGGGGGGAGAUUAAUUGAACCCAGCUCUGGUUGUCUACAAGAACUACUGAGAAGUUUCCCAGCAAACUUCUGGACCCAAAGUAAAAUCACAGCCUCCACCACCUCGCCCCUUCCAGCAGCUUCUCGAGGAAUAUCUAAGUCAUACAAAGCUAUUAGCAGCACUGAGGGCUGCAGCUCACCAGUCAUUUCAAUGAGGAAAGCACUCAGACACAGCAACAGGCAACAGAACGCAGCACUCACAGAGAAAUGAACGUAAGAGGUUUGCAUUCCCCAAGCAGUAUGAUAGAAAUGGCAUCCUAAUGUGAGAAAACACUGCCUGCUGGAGUGCAGAUAGUUGCUGUGCCAUGUUUGCGUCCCACAUGCUGCAGCAUGGUGCUAUUAGCACUGAAGAGACAUCGGGAAGCCAGACAAGUUAGUUUCCAUCAGCUAAUCUGAACAGGUUCGUUUCCAUCAGCUAAUCUGAAUGUAAUGCUAAAAUGUAAGUAAACAACAUGAAUGAUGUAAACAGCUUUUUGUUUGUUGCUGAGGCCUAUGAUAUUAUCUGAAAUGAGAAGCUUUGCAACAAGCAGUAGAGGAUCAGGGUUGUUAUAGCCACGAGCAGCAGCUGAUUCUUUAGCACAAGAUCCAUUGGAGUCACUUGCUAUCGAAGGGCUUGCUUCAGAACUGAAACGUGUCGGUAAGGACAGGAGCAGGAAGUUUGAAACACAAGAUGAUGGUUUUGACUGAGUUAAUAUUUAAGACUGAUACUGGCAGAUACUCAGAUUUCAUUAAUAGCAUUCAUUUAUUUUACCUGACAGUAACAAGGACCCAUGACUGGACAUCCUCAGAAACAUGGUUGUGUCCUGUUCUUCUCCACAAUUAUUUCCACUCAGAGUGACCACUUCAGACCUUUAGCGAAGCCCGUUAAAAACAGGAACAUUUUCCAUUAGCCAAGUGAGUGUGAAAGUAAAGCUGACGUGUAAGGCAACUCACAACUGGAGAAAUCUGAUAUCUAGUCUCUGUUCUGCCACAAACUUCUCUGAGAGGAGGCGGGUCCGACUUGCCCAGAUGUCUGAAGUACUCCGUGAACUACCUCCUUUAAACUAUAAGCACUUAAGUACCUUUGUGGCUCCCAGACUUGCCAUUCAGUUCUUUAGUGCCUGAGAACUCACAAGAGAAACAUACACUUUGUGUUUCGUUGUUUCUGGAAACAAUACAGCAAAUAGAAGUUGACUAACAUACUUUCUCUUUUUAAAAUCAGUUUUGAUGCCUAAUGGAAGUGGAAAAAAGUACCUAACUGGGCCAGAUGCAGUGCAUAUCCAGUAUCAGUAUUAAAUAAUUUAUUGACUACAGACAAUUUAAAAGAGAAUGUCAAGAUACCUGAGGUCAUUGUCUAGAUACAGUAUUUUGAAAUGAAUUGUUAGGAUCCCCAUAGCACCCAUCAUCUAAAAUGCUAUAUUUGUGCUUAACUUAUGCCAUCUGCAAGGCCCUGAUGCCUGACGUGUGCAUUGUGUGACUGAAUUUAAGCCCUUGGCUCGUUCCCUUUCAAGUUAAACAAAUGUGUGACUUCUGCAGAAUAAAAGUCUUUGCACAAGCAGUCUUCUUUGUGAACACAGUUGCACUCCUGGAAGUUCUCCUCCUAAAUGUAUUCCUCAAGAGAAAUAUUACAGAAAGCAUCUGGUGCUCCCUUCACAAUUACCCAUCAGCUUUUAUGACCCGACUGUACCUUAGUUGUUGUCUACUGCUGUGUGUUUCUUUCAGUUUCUGUCCAGUUACUGAAUGGUAAAGGAAAGUAGAAUCCUGAUAUUAGGAGGUAUUUUAGUUACCAGCAGCCUGGCACCUUGACCUGCCCAGAAAUCUUAAGAAGGUGGUGAAUUCUAUAAACACAACCAGUCUACUCUGCUGAAGUCACCCAAAGGGAAAGGGGGAGAAUGUUUUUCUCAAUGGCAUGCACCAUACUGGCUUGAGACCAUCGCACUCUUCCAGACAGGUCAAUGACCUGCCAAGAUGGAUUUGCUUAAGUCGUUACUGGUUUAAGCAGAAUUUUAUCAUCAGUGAUUGAAACUUUUGUGAAGUUUUACAACCAAAUAGUAAUACUAAGAGAGGAACACGCUUCCAAACGAAAGUAGGCUUUUCUCUGCUUUCUCAAGUAUUCAGGUGCAUUCUUGAGAGACAAAAUUACAGCCAGGCAUGGGUUGCUGUGCUCACUGUAAGAGUAACUGGACGAGAUGUGACAUCCAGAGUUCACCUAAUGCUUUAUUCAUUCUUAUUUGAGUUGGUUCAAACCAAUAAGCUAAGAGAUGUAGCCUAUUGAAACACCAAGCUGUCUUCACCCCCGGUAAUGAGCGCCUACACCAUGGUGGGAUACCAGCUUUUGAACUCACUUUGUGGCUGUGAUAUUUCUGCUUGGAUUUUCCUAAUGAGCAAGUUGAGAGCAGGACGGUGCAUCUCCACUGCCUUCCAGAAAGCACUGUACCCAACAGCCGUCAGCUGAAAACCAGUCUAUCCACACAAGCUAAGUCAGAAGAUGCUGUGUAGAUGGACUGUGUCCUGGAAAAGUCCACCUGGCCAUGGUGCGCGUGCAGAUACUAUUGGAGUGCCCAUUAGGUCCAUAUCUGUUCUUCCUGUGAUACAAACCUACUAUAGAAGGGCACAGUUCUUUCACUGUCCAUACAUAAAUGCAAAAGCUUGAUGCUUCCUGUAAAGGUCGGAUUGAGAAGAUCAGUGCUGUAAAAUUGAACGAGUUAUGCAGUGGAUGUGUUUGCAAUUCAAAGACCUCCGGCAGCUCAGAGAGAAAGAAAAGGAGGGGGCAGCUGCCAUGCAGUAACGCAGACUGGACUGCUACAAGACUAGAGAUUUCAUAAGAAAUUAAAAGAUCCUCAAAUUCUGUUCAUUAAAUAAAAAACAACAAAUCAAACCAAUACAAAAAAAAAACAAAAAAAAAAACCCUUCAGAAGCAGAGAAUGAGGAUAUGUGAGCACCUAACUAGAGGCUUACCCACUCUCUCCAUUUGAUUGCCACUUAUAAAGCCCUGUGCAAGUGUCAGAUGGGUGAUUGACAUGCUACAUGUCUUUCAUUUCUUUACUCUAUGAAUCAUUCAGCAGAGCCAUAUGAAACAUGGAUAGAUAGGAAAAUUGAUAUGGUUUCUCAAAGGUCAGAAAAGCCAGCACGUUACCAGCAUGUCAAACAAGUGGCAGUCCUGCAUUCAUUAUCACCAGGCUUGGUGCACCAUUUUAGCAUUGUUUGCAUAGGACUUUUGUUGCCUUCUUAGAGGAAGGAAGGGCAGCUGAUAAAGUUUGUGCCCUGACACUACAAAAUGACUUCCCAUCCUCAAAAUUAUACACGCAAAUUUGCAACGUGAGUGUUCAGAUAAUUACAUGAGAAGGUGAGAUGUCAGUCUAUGGAAUUCUUCCUCGAGGGUGGUGUCACACACCUUUUCAUUAGCAGCUUUUAAACCUGAACUAGAUAAAGCACUCUCAAUUAUGUUUAUCAUAUGAAACAAUUACAGCCUGGCCAGGAGAGCCGAGCUUGCCAACCUAAUAGGCUUUUUAAUAUGUAAUUUCUUGGACAAAAACGUAAUUCUAAAAACCAUUAUGUCACUACCCAACCAAGAAAUCCUUCCUCUCUGUA